rnacentral:tRNA from 1 species
AAGAGAUUAGUUAAAUUAUAAUAUAAGAUUGUCAGUCUUACGUUACUAGUGAAAUUAGUAUUUCUUA